UGCCCGUGAAUGCAUUUUCUCAAAAUGCGUUGGCUUCAUUCCUCCUUUGCUAAAGAAUAUCAACGGAUUUGCUAAUAGAACCUAGUCCAGGAACAUCCAGUGUGUCAGAUCAAAUCCCAGCAACAAAGGAAAAAAAAUUACGCAUUAUGGCUCCGGGAUGUGAGAUCUGCAAAUAAAUCCUGCUUGGAUCAGCGGAACUAACAGGCGAAAAAAAUGUUGACUAUUCAUCGUCGCAUUUACUGCGUGAAACUGCAAAGCCGGUCUCGAAGCUCUGAGCGACUCGGCUGUCUCGUCCACAUAUAACAUCAGAGCGCCCCCUGCUGGCGAGCGGAGUAGACCGCUGCGGGUCAGCCCCCUGCGAAGCAACCGUGUUUUUCUGCGCCCCCGCCCCCAUCACCCUGACUCCCUUCCACCACCCCCACCUCGGUUCUGCAGCAAAACCCCGCGGCAGGGGAAUAGCUUGCCAAGGCUGAACAUUUAGAUGAAUAAAUGAUUAAAAAACUGAUAAUAAAAUACGAAGGGACCCCAACCUUCACUUGGCCUCGGGGGAAUAAACUAUCA